UACGUAGGGUGCGAGCGUUGUCCGGAAUUAUUGGGCGUAAAGGGCUCGUAGGCGGUCUGUUGCGUCGGGAGUGAAAACUCAGGGCUUAACCCUGAGCCUGCUUCCGAUACGGGCAGACUAGAGGUAUGCAGGGGAGAACGGAAUUCCUGGUGUAGCGGUGAAAUGCGCAGAUAUCAGGAGGAACACCGGUGGCGAAGGCGGGUCUCUGGGCCGUAACUGACGCUGAGGCACGAAAGCGUGGGGAGCAAACAGG
rnacentral:rRNA from 1 species